UGGGGAAUAUUGCACAAUGGGCGCAAGCCUGAUGCAGCGACGCCGCGUGGGGGAUGAAGGCCUUCGGGUUGUAAGCUCCUUUCGCUAGGGACGAAGCUUUGUUGUGACGGUACCUAGAUAAGAAGCACCGGCUAACUACGUGCCAGCAGCCGCGGUAAUACGUAGGGUGCGAGCGUUGUCCGGAAUUACUGGGCGUAAAGGGCUCGUAGGUGGUUUGUCGCGUCGUCUGUGAAAUUCUGGGGCUUAACUCCGGGCGUGCAGGCGAUACGGGCAUAACUUGAGUGCUGUAGGGGUAACUGGAAUUCCUGGUGUAGCGGUGAAAUGCGCAGAUAUCAGGAGGAACACCGAUGGCGAAGGCAGGUUACUGGGCAGUUACUGACGCUGAGGAGCGAAAGCAUGGGUAGCGAACAGGAUUAGAUACCCUGGUAGUCCAUGCCGUAAACGGUGGGCGCUAGGUGUGAGGGUCUUUCUACGACUUUCGUGCCGUAGCUAACGCAUUAAGCGCCCCGCCUGGGGAGUACGGCCGCAAGGCUA
rnacentral:rRNA from 1 species